CACGGCUUACAACACUGCUUGGGAACGCCUAAAGGAGAGGUACAAUAGGCCACGCCAUAUUGUAAAGCGGUCACUUGAGACCGCUCCAUUCCCAGUCGCGUCAGCGCCGUCUUCUUGACUCUCAGCGCUAUGUUGAACAGCGAGCCGGCAUUUAAUCGUCUGCGGCGGUCGCUCUCACGAAAGAAGCUUUGGGAAGAUUCCGUUCCAAUCCACGUGGUUUAGAAAUAUUCAAGCUCUGCGAAUAUUUCUGGAGCCAACGAAAUAAAUAUUUUAGGAUGUUGACACGCAUAAUUGGAAAAUGAUCACUGCCGUGCAGGUCAUCUAUAACUGACCACUUACAGAAAGGGUAGAGCGAAGGAGAGAUAAAUGUCAGAUCAAUAUGGGAUAUAUGAAUCGACAAUUGUUAACUUUAUAUCCAGGUCUAAGCUAGCCAUCUGCUAGUGUAAAAUAUAAUAGUGUAAAAUAUUUGAGUUAACCGAAUUCUGCAUAAGCGAGUAGGGUAGGUGUCACCUAACAACGAUCCCUACACCUUGCUUUGCUGUUAAGUUGGAAGCAAGAUUGGUAAAAUAUCCAAUUUAUUGCUUUGGGCAAAUUGUGUUGUGGGCAUUGUGGGGUAGGUGCGUCUUCUGAAGACAUAUAAUGUCUGGUCGAUAUUUAUUAAUUAGAAUGCUAAAUUCAUCAUAGUUAUUAAAGUAUCCUUUCAAGUUCCACUGAACAAUCAUAAGAUUCAUAAGAUGCAAUAGUUGGAAAUAAGGCUACAGGAAUUAAGAUUAUAAACUUUUAUUGGGACAUUCACUCCUCCGAGUCCUUCUAAAAUAACAAACAAAACCAAACAUUGUGCAAAAAAAGAAAAACAUCUCUACGGGUCCAAGGAUGUUCAGUUGCUUUUAAAGAUUUACCUUACUAUUUUGUAAUAAAUUCUCAACAGGUUUUUCUCUAUAGUGAACAUGCCAUUAGGUACCUCCAUAUACAUCCCCAAAGCUGGGUGGUAGUUAUACUCUGGAUACAACAAAUCACUAGUUCAUAAAUCUUUUAUAUACUUUAUGAAACUAGUCUAUUUAGUGGAUGUAGAUUUUCGAGAACUUGACUCUCCUCCCUUUUCAAGUUAGUGGCUGUACGUAUUUCGGCGCAGCCAAAUUUUGCUCCGGUUCUCUGGUUAUGUAAUGGUAUGCGUAUAUUUAUAAUUAUUUCUACUUGCAAUAAAGUGUUUUAUAACUAA